rnacentral:rRNA from 1 species
GACGGGAGGGUGCAAGCGUUGCUCGGAAUCACUGGGCGUAAAGGGUGCGUAGGCGGUCUCGCAAGUCGUGGCGUGAAAGCCCGAAGGCUCACGCCUUGGAAGUGCGCUCGAAACGGCGAGGCUGGAGUGCCGGAGGGGAGAGUGGAAUUCCCGGUGUAGCGGUGAAAUGCGCAGAUAUCGGGAAGAACACCCGUGGCGAAGGCGGUUCUACUGGGACGGUACUGACGCUGAGACGCGAAAGCGUGGGGAGCAAACAGG